rnacentral:rRNA from 1 species
UACGAAGGGGGCUAGCGUUGCUCGGAAUUACUGGGCGUAAAGGGCGCGUAGGCGGACAGUUAAGUCAGAGGUGAAAGCCCAGGGCUCAACCCUGGAAUUGCCUUUGAUACUGGCUGUCUUGAGUGCGGGAGAGGUGUGUGGAACUCCGAGUGUAGAGGUGAAAUUCGUAGAUAUUAGGAAGAACACCAGUGGCGAAGGCGGCUCACUGGCCCGGUACUGACGCUGAGGCGCGAAAGCGUGGGGAGCAAACAGGG